ensembl:lncRNA
UCAAACAUUCCAAUGCAAAAGGGGGAAAACUGAGGUUAGUAACCAAGUGAGCCCACAGUGUUAGGGUUUAUUUUAUUACAUUUUAGUGCUUGUAACUGCUCCCUCAGGCAGCACUGUGAGUGCACUACUUCAUGAGUUUUUUUUAUGACGGUUGAAACCACUCCAGUGAUUAAUGAUGACAAUCUGUCUGGAAUGGUUUCACCUUUCCUCCCUUUUUGGCUUCUUUCUGUCAUGUUAAUCUUUCAAGAGCUCUUCACUCUAUGCACUUGGCACAUUUUUGAAAUAGUCACUCAGGAAUUCAGACAGUUGAUUCACAAGGCAGGAGGUAUCUUGGGUGUUGGGUUUAUUUGUGGCAUAAAGGUGUGACUUUACGCAGCUCAGGAAGGGAAGACUCAAGCAGCAUCACUUGAGGAAUGUCUUGAGAAGAACAAAGUGGUCUCGGCAUGCUUCAAGAUGAGGUUGCUAAAAAGAUGUUCACCAACUUGGUGCAAAUAUUGUGUGAUCCUUUACUGGUCACGGGGAAGCCUGGAGCCUAUCCCAGGGAGCAUCGGGCACAAGGCGGGGUACACCCUGGACAGGGUGCCAAUCCAUGGACCAGAAGCAUACCAAAAAUUCCUGUAGUUUUCCAGGGAAAAGCAAAUCGCAGAGGUGGUUCCACAUUCGUUACAGAGAAAUUGCCUUCCUUCACAGUGAAAGAGCUUGGUGUGCUUCUGUUUAAUAGAAUAUUAAGUUGAACUAUCAAUGCUUCAGACAGAAUCUGGUAAUAAAAAUAGUGUCAAAUGUUGUACUUAAAAAAACAAUGUUAAUUAAUGUUAUUACAUUGUUUCACUACAUUAGCAUCAGUAAUCCAAAACAUACUGAAACAAGCAGAGCCUUGGCUUUGAGACAUUGACCUUUGCACAUACAUUUUGUCCAAGAUUUCAGCCAGAAAUAUUUGGCAAAAUGGCUCAGUUAAGUCCUGUGUUUUGCUUUGAUUGCCAUGGAGAUUCCAAAACUUCCUGCUUGGUCUGUGCAUGGAAUGCAUCUGCCCCCUCCUCGUCUUCCUGCUCCUGCUGAAAAAUUCCCCUUCCUCUUUCAUUUGGCCUCAAAUUAUUGUCUGUAUCUCUGUCUAUCUAUCUGUCAGACACACAUUUAAUCUUAUUGCCUUCUACUUCUAAUUUUACUACACAAACAAAUGCUGCGUUGAGGAUCAAACUUCAAAAAUACUUUUCUGCAUUUUAUUUGCUUGUUCUUGGAACAUCUGAAAAUUCGUUGUGCGUCAUGUAACCCUUGAAAUAAAUUUCUUUUGCUCACAAACUACA